AGGGAGACUCUAAGAGCUGCAGGAGUGCCCACCCCUGAUCUAGGACAACAAUGACUUAUCAAUAGGACUUCAAGCUGGAAUUUUCUAAUGCUCAUUACUCAGGAUCUUUGCAAAUCUCUAACCAGGGUACCCAGGACACUGAGGGAAACAAAAUGAACUGAAUAUUUUUAUGCUUCAGAAUGACCUGACCUGAAGCCCCAUCCAUCUAUGGCGCUGGCAAACACCACAUUUCCUUGGUCAGGAGAAAAGUAGAGGUGAGAGUCAUCAGCAUCCUCUAGUCCAGCACUCCAGUCAUAAACCUGAUCUCCACUUGGGUCCUUGUCCCUGUUCACCUCCUCCUUCAACUUCUCUGCUCGCUCUUCCAGCACUUUAGACGUGAAAAGAGACCCUGUGACAGCAUUGACCUACAGAGAACAAAGAUGAUAAUACAUAGUCUUCAUCCACCGAAUGAACAAGGCUGGUCUUAAAGAUUUAAGUUUCUGACCUGCUCCAGGAUCUUCUGCAGUCAGGAAUGUUUAGUGCACAAAGAGUGGAACAGGCUUACCUGUGGACACACACCCUCAACAGCAUCUACAACCACAAUGGCCCCAUCACACAGCCGCACCGCUGUGGAAACCUCAGAGGAGAAGUCGACAUGACCAG